rnacentral:rRNA from 1 species
UACGGGGGGGGCAAGCGUUGUUCGGAAUUACUGGGCGUAAAGGGCUCGUAGGCGGCCAACUAAGUCAGACGUGAAAUCCCUCGGCUUAACCGGGGAACUGCAUCUGAUACUGGAUGGCUUGAGAUUGGGAGAGGGAUGCGGAAUUCCAGGUGUAGCGGUGAAAUGCGUAGAUAUCGAGAGGAACACCUGCGGCGAAGGCGGGUUGCUGGGCUGACACUGACGCUGAAGCGCGAAAGCUAGGGGAGCGAACGGG